rnacentral:rRNA from 1 species
ACGGAAUAGAUACCCCGGUAGUCCACGCCCUAAACGAUGUCUACUAGUUGUUGGUGGAGUAAAAUCCAUGAGUAAACGCAGCUAAACGCGUGAAGUAGACCGCCUGGGGAGUACGGUCGCAAGAUUAAAACUCAAAUGAAUUGACGGGGGCCCGCACAAGCGGUGGAUUAUGUGGAUUAAAUUCGAUGCAACGCGAAAAACCUUACCUGGCCUUGACAUGUAACGAACUUUCCAGAGAUGGAUUGGUGCUCGAAAGAGAACGUUAACACAGGUGCUGCAUGGCUGUCGUCAGCUCGUGUCGUGAGAUGUUGGGUUAAGUCCCGCAACGAGCGCAACCCUUGCCAUUAAUUGCCAUCAUUUAGUUGGGCACUUUAAUGGGACUGCCGGUGACAAACCGGAGGAAGGUGGGGAUGACGUCAAGUCCUCAUGGCCCUUAUGGCCAGGGCUUCACACGUAAUACAAUGGUCGGUACAGAGGGUUUGCCAACCCGCGAGGGGUAGCCAAUCCCGAGAAAGCCGAUCGUAGUCCGGAUUGUAGUCUGCAACUCGACUAC